rnacentral:rRNA from 1 species
UACGUAGGGUGCGAGCGUUAAUCGGAAUUACUGGGCGUAAAGCGUGCGCAGGCGGCGCGUUAAGACAGGUGUGAAAGCCCCGAGCUUAACUUGGGAAUUGCGCUUGUGACUGGCGUGCUGGAGUGUGGCAGAGGGAGGUGGAAUUCCGACGUGUAGCAGUGAAAUGCGUAGAGAUGUGGAGGAAUACCGAUGGCGAAGGCAGCCCCCUGGGAUAACACUGACGCUCAUGCACGAAAGCGUGGGGAGCAAACAGG